CAUUGGGAAGUCAUGAAUAAGAGACUAUGAAGCUUGCACGUCAGAUCUUCCUCAAUUAAUCCACCAUUAGCAUGUUUGGGAUCCACUACUGGAUGGUUAACAGCAGCUUUUGUAACUGUACGCCGACCAUACCCAAUUAUGCUCUGCUAAAAAUGAACUCUUUGCAGACCAGCCCUCUCGGGUUGUCAGUGUUUUCCGUUUUCCUAUUUUAACGUUUGUGUAUAGUGGCAGGCGACAGAUGGUGUAGAUCAGAUCGAUUUGAUUGCAUUAGAUGAUUUUUUUUCCCUUCCCCACUCCUUUCUGGAAGCUCGCAUCAGCUGAAGGCUACCGCCUGGGACUCCUCGGAAGCGUGAGCAAGCCGCCACCAUGCGAAGGCACUGGGGCACAGCCAGCGCAAGGCACCGAGGUCCCUUCCUAGGGCUUGUUAACACUGUAACCCGGCACUCCGAGGGAAGCAGCUCCCACUGCCCAGAGCCUACCUCACUGCUCAUCAGAUGACUCUCUGGCUUCUACACACAGUUGGAGUUCCGCUUGAAACCUGGAUUUAGAGGGGCUCUCUCGCUGCCAUGACACUCAAUCAAAGCACCUAGAGUGGGCUGGCUGAGACCAGAGAGGGUACCAAGCAGAACAAGGACAGAGGAAGGCACUGGGAGAGCACCAGAAUUGGAGAUAGAGCAGCCAUUUGGAUUUGGGCAGGAAGCAGCCGAGCACAGCUUUGGAUCCUUCUUUAGGGAAAUCGAGUUAUGGAUUUAUGGUCCCGGUCAAGCUCAGCCCAGCCCCAGCCAGGGGCGGGCUCAGCAGCAAGAGUUCUGGUGGCGGCGGCAGUAGCAGCGGCAGCGGUAGCAGCGGCAGCAGCAGCUUGGUCCUCUGACUCUCUUCGGUGACGGGUAUUCUUGGGUGGAUAAUACGGAUUACGUUGUUAUUGCUUAAGAAUACGCGUAGUCGAGGAGAGUACCAGCGGCAGGCGGGCAGCGGCCGCCCCUCCCAGCCCACCAGCUGGCCUCUAAACGCCUGUGGUUGCCAAGGUAGCACUUUUUUGAUCUUUUCCUUUCCUCGGUGUUUUCGCUCUGGGUCGCGUGUUAGGUGAUCGCAAGACACAUCCCACCAGAUGGGCUGUGUGCGCCGCGCCUCUGGUGACUGGAGCUGUAGAAUGGGUGCGUGCAGAAGGGCGGGGGUCUAGGCGGAGGGGAGGGGCGGGGAAAGGAUGAGGGUCUGUUCCGCGAAGCCUGCGGGGAGUUUCGGCGUCCCCGGCCUUCCAGGCUCCUCUCCCCGUUGGGGUCUGGCUGCGGGGAGAGACGCGGCCCGGGCGAAUUUCGAAAGUUGGGAGUGAUGGAAAGGCCUUGAGCAGUUUGGCAACGUCGCGAGUGAGGAGCUGGAGCUUAGCAGAGGGUCGCUGCGGGCUGCCUGCGCAGAAAGGGCGUGUCCGUGGGCGAAGGUGCCCCCGCAAAACGCGGAGGCUUCUGACUUCGCGAAUCCCGGGCCCCACCCCCAGCCGUGCCACUCCGCAGCCAGACCUGGCGGCCCGGGUGGGGAGCGGGCGGGAGACCCGGGCCCGGGUCCCCCGGAACUUCCAGACUGGAAGUGUGUUGGGUCUCUCAGGGGCCCAUAUUUUCUUUUCGGAUUCUCCGCGAAGGGGUGGAGAAUCAGCAUGGGAACCGGAUUGGUUGCCGUUUGGCACAGAACUGGAACCUUCCCGAAAGCGGUGGGGCAGGCAGGGACUGCUCAGUCGUCCAGUUUCUUUGGGACACCUCUUCGUCGUGUCUUCCCUGCCUCUGCCGUUAGGAUGAGUCUCAAACAUCAACAAACCCAAGGCACGUUCCCCUUCUCAGGUCUGCUGCGAUGGGACUAGAGGAAGAGAGAGCCUUUCCCUACUUCUACUUACAGUUUCUGUUUGUUUGUUUGUUUCAAAUGUUAAUGGACGAUCAAACCCUACGGAUUUGUCCAGCAGAGGAGGGGUCCUAGCGAAGAACUAGCAACCACCCACCGAUCCCCCCACCCCCACCCCGCACACUCGGACACAUCUGAGGACGACCGGCUGUGGCGGGAGUUGAGAUGCCCAAAAUGGUGUUGGAAAAGGUGAUCCACCGGAGAAGACGCGGGCCAAGGAGGCUCCAGCUCUCAGCUCUUGUGGGCUUAAGACCACGCGGCUCUGCAACUCUCCUUUCCCUCUAGGGAGGCGCCAGGGCCUGCCCAGUGGCGGCGCUUCAUAGGUGGAAGGAGAAAAUGCUGGAGACUAGAACGUGCCAGGCCCCCAGAAGGUUCCACGAGGCUCAUUAAGAACCUCCUAGGACCCUAAGACCAAGUUUCUUACCUGCGUGGUGGCCCCUGAUUUUGCACGGGCUGCGAAGACUGAAUUCCUGAGAAGUCGAAGCUGCAGGAGGGGGAAAAAAGAGAGAGAGAGAGAAGCCUGCGACGCUCUCCUUUGCGGCGCUCCCACACCAGCUCUAAACCGAGCUACUCCCCAGACACCUUUUCCCUUGGGAGGACUGGCCUUUCCCGGGCGCGACCUGCAUGUACCCCGAUGGGUUCUUGCCCACCAGAGCAGCCCUGAGCCAUGGAGACAUUGAGAGCAAAGUGCCCCAGAGGAGGCAGGCACACUCUCACACUUUCCCAUCUAGAGUCUCGCCUUUCUUCCAGUGUCUUGGAUUCAUAGUGAAGGGUACACUAUGCCACGCCUCUCCCUGUCCCUAUUCCUACCACACCGCAUCUGAUCCCACAUUCAGGGUAUCAGCACUCAUAGCUUUUGCGCUCAGGGAAGGUUGUUUGCAAGGAAAAUGAGUGGUGGCCCUUCUCAGAAGCUCCCAGGGCUGGCGAUCCCGUUUUAAGAAGGAGUAUAAGUAGAAAAGAAAACACAGAUACUAUCUUUGCACUCGAAAUUCUAUCACUAGCAAGAGAAUUUGUAAACUGCUGUUCUUUCCUUCAUCGUUCCAUGAAUUACCCUCUUUCACUCGGGAUUCACCAGUUGGUGAUAAAGGGCUUUUAAAUAUUGUGCUUGUUGUGUAUUUAACAGAAUUCAAUAUGUCUACUGGUGCCCUUGUUUCAUUAGGAAAUUGGGAAAGUAGAGAGAACCUGCAUAAUCCAGUAAUUCGGUGAUCUUUGGAAAGUUGGCCUCAUGCUGGUUUGUUAAAUAAGUGUAUGAGAUUGAAAGGCAAAAAGGGAGUUGGGAACCUAGUGACAGAGUUUGCAAGAAAUGAAAGAUGUAAUACUCUGGCAUUUGUUGAGAGAAUAAGGAAGAACUUUUGAAAAAUAAGCUGUUUCGUUCAAUUCUUUGCCACUGGUACUUUAGCUUAUGAUUGCAAUUGCUUCAUAAAUGAAUAAUAAUUUUUUAGAGUGGAAUACUUUUAAAUGCUAGUGACGAAAUCUAGAGGAAACCUGUACUCAUCUCAUGGUCACAAAAAGUAUUUGAUAUUCUUGGUUCAAGUGGUUUAACUACGUAUCUCAUUGCUUUCUUUCCUGUGCAGAAUUAUUUCUUAAAAAAGUUUCCAUUAAGUGUCAGUCUGACUGAGCUGGUUCCUAUUUAAAUUUAGAAAACAAAACAAAACAAAAAAAUAUGGGUUUAACCAUACUUGGCCUUUUUAGAUAAGAAGGAGGAAAAUCCCCAAAACUUUAUUAAAUUGAAAUUGCUGUAGUUAAUUGUUAUUGUUAUAAGGCAGCUUUUUUUCUCCCUCAGAAAAUAGAAUUUUAAAUUACAUCACCACUAGCCUGUUAUCACUUUUGCCCUGUGGGUAUCCAUAGACAAGACUAAAGAAGUACAAAGUGAUUCUCUAUGUUUUUCAUGCUAGAUACAAGUGAUUUUAAGUAAUCAUAAUAGGUGGGUUGUUUUUCAAUUGAUGUCCAAAUAUUAGAAGGGUAUGCAUCCUUUUUCUAAAAUAUGGUUUGCUUUACAAAAGUGAUACAAUUUUUACCUGAGAAAAGCAUAUGGAUACAGCUUAGACUCUUUACUUGACAGUAAUACUUAAGGCACAGUGGACAGGGAAAGAGUAAACUUGUGAAAAUUGCUUUUGUCUGCUAUUUUUACCUUAAUGAAGUCUGCCUAAGUACUCAAAUCUUUAUGAACACAAUUUAUGGCUUUUGAUAGAAGAUUUUAGUUUUCUCGUUGAAAUUUAUAUGUCUAGAACAUUCAAAUUUAUAACAUGAUAUUCAUUAAUAGGUGUAAGAAACACCAUCUUGGUUGAUGGUUUACUACUGAGUCUCAGGUAAGGAGAUUGACAGAAACUGCAUUUUACAAAGAAUUUUCUGAUUUUAUUUUUUGUUUGUGAAUCAUGUUCUGAUAUUUUUGCUUGAAUAGAAGUGCAGGGAAUGGUGGUUUUCAGAGUUAAAGAUCCAUUGAGGGUCGUGACAACCUCUGUGUGAAUACCAAAAAAAAUUAUUGUGCACAUGAUUCUGACCAAGCACAUUUUUAAAUAAAUAAUCAUGUCCUGGAGGUAGGAUCUCUCUCCAAGUCCACUGUUAGCUCUAGAAUGAUAUGUUUCUUGGUGUUACAGCAGUGCCAGUCUAGAACUAGAACAGUACUAUCAAUGAAUGUCCAGGCAAAGGAGAAUGAUGAAGUAGCAUUUUGAUGGGAGGAAAAUUCCAUAAGUCAUAUUACCAUUUUUUAAAUUAUAUUCCAUAUCAGUACUAGUAAAUUUUCAAGUAUAAAAAUAGACAUUUUUUUUGUCUAGGUGGAGAUGAUGGGUAUAUUGGGGAAUAUUUUGUGCUUUUAUGUAGGACAGAGAAGGACUAAGGACACAGAAGCCAGUAUAAGAUGAUCACGAUUAUUCACCAACUUUUCAAUACUGUACAGUUUCCGCUGUCACUGAAUCACAGAAAUGACAGGAUGAUGUUCUUACUCUUAUAAAGUAGUGUAAUCUGCAUGUUAGACUUACUAUUUGAAAGUAAAUUUAUUUGAUGAUAAAUGUUCUCAGUACGAAGAAAACAUAUUAAUGACAAUACUUAAAGAGUUUUAUUAUCGUAUUUAGCUAUUACGUAUAGCUAUUGGUAGUUAUACACCUAUAAACAUAAGUGCUAAAUAUCUUUUAAACAAUGAGUUUUGUAGUACAGUUUGUUUUUCAAAUGUUUUGAGAUUUUCUCCUCUGGCACCUAUACUUUAAAUCAUGACUUAGAACUCAAAUUUAAAUUUACAAAACCUUUCAUGUGGGUGUAUAUUAUAAGCUUUUUCAUUGAGAAGACAUUGCAAUUUAUGCAAAAACUGUAAGCUAAAGAAAUAUUAUGAAAUUUUAAGUUUCUUGAAAUAUGUUUAGUACCUGGUUGAGUUUGCUGAGUGCAGCUUGACGGUGGAACCAAUGUGUCCUAAUAUUUAUAUUGUUGUCCCAGAUUACAAAUAUGUGACUACCUAAAUCUUUUAUGUUCUGAGUUCUGAGUUCUCUAUCCUGGUUAAUAAUGAGAGCUAAGUAAGACAGUCUGUUCUCCACAACCAAUGAAAAGUAUUAUACUGUCUAUACAAGUGUAAAGACAACACUUUUCAUUUGCUGUGUUUGUGGAAAUACCCUUUGAGAUUCAGUAACAAUCCAUGGUAUCUGAAAAUUUAUACACAUGACACCUAUAGCUGAAACUAAAAGUUAAAAAAAAAGCCAAGAAUAAACUAUGAACUUUAAAAUAU